UACGUAGGGGGCAAGCGUUGUCCGGAAUCAUUGGGCGUAAAGCGCGCGUAGGCAGCCCGGUAAGUCCGUUGUGAAAGUCAAAGGCUCAACCUUUGAACGCCGAUGGAUACUGCCGGGCUAGAGUCCGGAAGAGGCGAGUGGAAUUCCUGGUGUAGCGGUGGAAUGCGCAGAUAUCAGGAGGAACACCAAUAGCGAAGGCAGCUCGCUGGGACGGUACUGACGCUGAGGCGCGAAAGCGUGGGGAGCGAACAGG
rnacentral:rRNA from 1 species